UUGUCAGAAACACGCAGUCUGGAUUAGCUAUAAACACACGUAUAAAGAAUCUCUAAUAUAGUUAACUUGGGACAAAGAAACGUUAAGCAAAUCUUCAGUCAAAGCAUGAAGAGUUAAUGAAAGUAAUUUUGGCCAUAUUAAGCCUUUAACCCAUAUUUGGACAAAUUUUGACUUACUUGGUGCAUUUAAUCUUGCUGCCUAAAGGUCAUCUUGUUACAACAUCCAUAAUCACAUUUUUUGCCACGAAAAUCCGUGCGAUUAUUGCUUGGGCUGUUAAGGCAAAGAUCGUGGCAUAUUGGUGGUUGUAGCAGGUGCUGAGAGAACACGUUGUGAAAGCUCGCCUGCAGAACGAAUUUGAGAUCAGAAGCAGGCCACCGAUUACAUGUUAUAUCGCAGUUCUCAUACGUUUCAGCACCAAACCUAAGCUUUUGGAAAUCGUCAGGAAAUCGGGACCUGCCCAUGGAAUCUUUUCUGGCCGCAUUAAAGAGAUUCAUAAGCCUGCGGCCCAAGUCCCAAGUCAAACAACACCACAAACAUCUUCGGAGCUGAAAACUAGCUUUUGGAUGUUCGACAACUAUUUCUCAGCGAUCCCCAUACGUCAGCCUUAUCAAACCUCUGUGUUUAAAAUUGAAUCGAUUGGAAGUUCAUCUCCAGUGGAGUUGGACAAAGCGAUAAUGCGCAUAAUAACAGUCUGUGUGCAGACCUUUUUAAUUAUUUAAUAUUCAUAUUCUGGCGUAAUAUGAAAAAUGAGAGUAUGUAUCAAAAAUAAUGGUUUUACUGUUGUUCAUGGUAUUCUCCAGAAACAGUUAUACCCUUUUGCAUGCGCUUAAAACAAUUGCCAAAGCAUUUUUUCUCUAAAAGAUGGUUUUUCAUAGCUUUAAGAAAAUCUUUUGCCGACGAUAAUAUUUGACCACAUGAAAUAAAGUCAUUGGGUGCCAAGCCAGUGCUGCAUGGUGGAUGAGUCAUCACUAUGU